rnacentral:lncRNA from 1 species
AAGUAAUUGGCCACACUGUACUGAUAAAGCAGAGAUGUGUCCCGGAUGGGCCAGGAGACAUUAGAUAUCACACCCAGACAGGAUUAAAAAGUCUCUCAAUAUAAAAAGUUGAGGUGAAAAUUCCCAUUUCUAGACAUCUGUGGGAUGUGAUGUCUGUAAGAGAAAAGACAAAGUCAUGAUUUCCAGUGUUAUCUGUGUAAGAAUGUUGAGCUCCACGUGAAGGCAGAGAGAGGAGGCAUACCCUACC